AACGAACGCUGGCGGCAUGCCUAACACAUGCAAGUCGAACGAGACCUUCGGGUCUAGUGGCGCACGGGUGCGUAACGCGUGGGAACCUGCCCUUAGGUUCGGAAUAACUCCCCGAAUGGGGUGAUAAUACCGGAUAAUGUCUUCGGACCAAAGAUUUAUCGCCUUUGGAUGGGCCCGCGUUGGAUUAGCUAGUUGGUAGGGUAAAAGCCUACCAAGGCGACGAUCCAUAGCUGGUCUGAGAGGAUGAUCAGCCACACUGGGACUGAGACGCGGCCCAGACUCCUACGGGAGGCAGCAGUGGGUAAUAGUGGACAAUGGGCGAAAGCCUGAUCCAGCAAUGCCGCGUGAGUGAUGAAGGCCUUAGGGUUGUAAAGCUCUUUUACCCGGGAUGAUAAUGACAGUACCGGGAGAAUAAGCUCCGGCUAACUCCGUG
rnacentral:rRNA from 1 species